GCUGUUGCUCAGUGGGAGAGCAUCUGCUUUGCAUGGAGAAGGACCCAGGUUCAAUCCCCGACAUCUCCA